CCUACGGGUGGCAGCAGUGGGGAAUAUUGCACAAUGGGGGAAACCCUGAUGCAGCAACGCCGCGUGAGUGAAGAAGGUUUUCGGAGUGUAAAGCUCUGUUAGCAGGGAAGAAGAAGGACGUUACCUGCAGAGGAAGCCACGGCUAACUACGUGCCAGCAGCCGCGGUAAUACGGAGGGGCCAAGCUUUGUUCGAAAGAACUGGGUGUAAAGGAUGCGUGGGUGGUUAAACAAGUUAUAUGUUAAAUAUAUAGGCUCAACCUGUAGAAAGCAGAUAAAACUGUCUAACUAGAGUGCAGGAGAGGUAAGUGGAAUUCGUAGUGUAGCGGUGAAAUGCGUAGAGAUUAGGAAGAACACCAGUGGCGAAGGCGACUUACUGGACUGUAACUGACGCUGAGGCAUGAGAGCAUGGGGAGCAAACAGGAUUAGAUACCCGAGUAGUC
rnacentral:rRNA from 1 species